GACGGAGGAUGCGAGCGUUAUCCGGAAUUAUUGGGCGUAAAGCGUCCGUAGGCGGUUAUUCAAGUCUGCUGUCAAAGACUACAGCUCAACUGUGGAAAGGCAGUGGAAACUGAGGAACUGGAGUGCGGUAGGGGUAGAGGGAAUUCCCAGUGUAGCGGUGAAAUGCGUAGAUAUUGGGAAGAACACCAGUGGCGAAGGCGCUCUACUGGGCCGUAACUGACGCUGAGGGACGAAAGCUAGGGG
rnacentral:rRNA from 1 species